rnacentral:miRNA from 1 species
UGAGGCGGGAGAAUUGCUUGAACCCAGGAGGUGGAGGUUGCAGUGAGCUGAGAUCGUGCCACUGUACUCCAGCCUGGGUGACAGAGUGAGACUCCGUCUCA